AUGAAGUAGGCAAGUCAACAUGUUCUCAUCGGCAAUGGCGUCUCUAUGCUGGAAAUCUUCAGUGUUUACAUUGCGAAAACAAUUGAGAUCAUAACAAUAAAAUCAAAUUCGAAAUUUGUGAGUACGCGAACG
rfam:Drosophila virilis strain TSC#15010-1051.87 Ctg01_17174, whole genome shotgun sequence.